rnacentral:lncRNA from 1 species
AUGGCCCAGCUGAAGUGUAUCUACACUAAUGCGUGUAGCAUGGGUAACAAACAGGAGGAGCUGGAAGCCAUCAUGCAGCAGGCAGGCUACAACUUGGUUGCCAUCACAGAAAUGCGGUGGGACCACUCUCUUGACUGGAGUGCUGCAAUGUCUGGCUAUAGGCUCUUCAGAAGGGACAGGCAGCAUGGAAGGGAUGGUGGUGUGGCUCUGUAUAUCAGAGAGAGUUUUGAUGUCGUGGAACUUGAGGCUGGGAAUGAUAAGGUUGAGUCCCUUUGGGUUAGGAUCAGCAGGAAGGCCAACAAGGCUAGCAUCCUGGUCGGGGUCUGUUAUAGACUGCCAAACCAGGAUGAGGAGACUGAUGAGGAGUUCUACAGGCAGCUGACAAAAGUUGUGAAAUCGUCAGCGCUUGUUCUUGUGAGGGACUUCAAUUUCCCAGAUAUAUCCUGGAAGCACAACACAGCCCAGAGAGAGCAGUCUAGGAGGUUUCUGGAGAGCGUGGAAGAUAGCUUCCUGACGCAGCUGGUUAGUGAACCUACCAGGGAUGGUGCCCCGCUAGACCUUCUCUUCACAAACAGAGAAGGACUGGUGGGAGAUGUGAUGGUUGGAAACUGUCUUGGGCAGAGUGACCACGAAAUAGUAGAGUUCUCCAUUCUUGGAGAAGCCAGGAAGGGGACCGGUAAAACUGCUGUAUUGGACUUCCGGAGGGCUGACUUUGAGCUGCUCAGGACACUGGUUGGUAGAGUCCCUUGGGAGGCGGUUCUGAAGGGCAGAGGAGUCCAGGAAGGCUGGGCGCUCUUCAAGAAGGAAAUCUUAAUGGCGCAGGAACGGUCUGUCCUUGCGUGCCCAAAGACAAGCCGGCGGGGAAGAAGACCGGCCUGGCUGAACAGAGAAUUGUGGCUUGAGCUUAGCAGGAAAAAGAGGGUUUACAAUCUUUGGAAAAGAGGAUGGGCCACUUGGGAGGACUAUAAGGAUGUUGCGAGGCAGUGCAGGGACAAAAUUAGAAAGGCCAAAGCUCAUCUGGAGCUCAAUCUGGCUACUGUCGUCAAAGACAACAAAAAAUGUUUUUACAAAUACAUUAAUGCAAAAUGGAGGACUAAGGAGAAUCUCCAGCCUUUACUGGAUGCGGGGGGGAACUUAGUUACGAAAGAUGAGGAAAAGGCGGAGGUGCUUAAUGCCUUCUUUGCCUCAGUCUUUAGCGGCAAAACCAGUUGCUCUCUGGAUACCCAGUAUCCUGAAUUGGUGGAAGGGGAUGGGGAGCAGAAUGUGGCCCUCACUAUCCAUGAAGAAAUGGUUGGCAACCUGCUACAGCACUUGGAUGUGCACAAGUCAAUGGGGCGAGAUGGGAUCCACCCAAGGAUACUGAGAGAACUGGCAGAGGAGCUGGCCAAGCCGCUUACCAUCAUUUAUCAGCAGUCCUGGCUAUUGGGGGAGGUCCCAGUUGACUGGCAGCUAGCAAACAUGAUGCCCAUCUACAAGAAGGGCUGGAGGGCAGACCCGGGAAACUACAGGCCUGUCAGUUUGACCUCAGUGCCAGGGAAACUCAUGGAGCAGAUUAUCUUGAGAGUCGUCACGGGGCACUUACAGGGCAAGCAGGCGAUCAGGCCCAGUCAGUAUGGGUUUAUGAAAGGCAGGUCCUGCUUGAUGAACCUGAUCUCCCUCUAUGACAAAGUGACGCACUUGGUGGAUGAGGGAAAGGCUGUGGAUGUGGUCUACCUUGACUUCAGUAAGGCUUUUGACACCGUUUCCCACAGCAUUCUCCUCAAGAAACUGGCUGCUUGUGGCUUGAACUGGCAUACACUUUGUUGA